GGGAUGGUCACUGAUUUGACUUUGGCAAGGGAGAACCAAACUAGUUUCGAGGAGUAUCUGAGCAAUAAUCCACAAGCUAGUCCUGGAAUCGACUUGACUGUCACUGUUUUGACUACUGGCUUUUGGCCAAGCUACAAGUCUUUUGACCUCAACCUGCCGGCAGAGAUGGUAAAGUGUGUUGAAGUUUUCAGAGAGUUCUAUCAAACAAAAACAAAG
rnacentral:misc_RNA from 1 species